rnacentral:lncRNA from 1 species
ACAAUUUCUUUUCUUUUUUUUUGUCUUUUAUCUUUAUAGGGCCCCACCCACGGCAUAUGGAGAUUCUCAGGCUAGGGGUCAAAUUGGAGCUACAGCUGCCAGCCUACACCACAGCCACAGCAACGCAGGAUCCAAGCCAUGUCUACAACCUACAUCACAGCUGAUCCUUGCCGGAUCCUUAACCCACUGAGCAAAGCCAGGGAUCGAACCUGCAGCCUCAUGGUUCCUAGUCGGAUUUGUUUCCGCUGCACCAUGAUGGGAACUCCUAGAAAGGGAGACAAGUUCUGACAGCAAGAAAGAAGAGGUGGUAGAAGGGCUGUUUUAUAAACUUGUUAGCCAAGGAGUUCCCUUUGUGGCUUAGUGAUUAAUGAACUCUAGGAUCCAUGAGGGUGUAGGUUUGAUCUCUGGCCUCAGUGGGUUAAGGACCCUGCAUUGCUGUGAGCUGUGGUGUAGGUUGCAGAUGCAGCUCAGAUGCCACGUUGCUGUGGCUGUGGUGUAGGCCAGCAGCUACAGCUCUGGUUUGACCCCUAGCCUGGACACUUCCAUAUUCCAUGGGUAUUGUCCUAAAAAGCAAAAAGCUAAAAUAACCAAAAAAAAAAAACUUGUGGCAUGGGCCAGCAGUUACAGCUCCGAUUUGACCCCUAGCCUGGGAACCUCCAUAUGCCCGGGUAUGGCCCUACGCAAAAUAAAUAAAUAAAAAAGCCAAAACUCUGUGACAUUGUUUGGGUGAAUACUAACAGUAUAAACCAGAGCCAGGGUGAAAUGAAGGGGAUUUCAGAGAUAUGAGGGUAAAUCUGGUUUUGGGUGUCUGAGAUUUGACAAGAUAUCCAGGUAGUAAAGUCUAGCACAUUGUGGGGGAAUAUGGAGUGGGAGUACUAUAGAGAAUGUAGAGCAAAAUAUAUAGAGAUAUGGGAAGCAUCAAUUUCAAACCAAUGGCAGAAAUCAAGAGAGCUGAAGACUUUGCAAGAAUGAGAGCACAUAGGAAGAUGAAAACAGACUGGGAUGACAGGCCUCUGGGGAACAUCUGCUCACUGGAAGGAGGAGAAAAAAGAGGCCAGAAAAUACUCUUACUAAGAAGAAGAAACAGGAGAAUUAGGAGGAUAGGAAUAAAGAACUCUAAGAAGGUCAAUUUUAUCAAAUGUUGCAGAGAAGCUGAAAGGGAAGGGGAUUGAAUUAAACCUUUGAAACUUGAAAAUGAGUAAUUUCAUAUGAAUGGUAGAAGGCACAGUGCAAGAAGUCAAGGAGUGUGACUGGGUGGAUUGGAUGUGGCAGAGACAGUUAAUGGCUCUUCCAAAUCCGCUCUCCCAUUCUUCCACAGUGAUAGCUUCAAUUGGUCAUGGGGGUCUCCCAUUCUUCCACAGUGAUAACUUCAAUUGGUCAUGGGGGUCUCCCAUUCUUCCACAGUGAUAGCUUUAAUUGGUCAUGGGGAUAGGACUGCAUUUCUCAGCCUAGGUAUAGCCCAUGACUACAUCUGGUAGCUGGGUAUAGCCAUCCAACUAAGUUCUGUUCCAUGGGGACAAGAGAAGUGGUAUGUUCUGUAUCUCUAAUUGUGCUCUCAAAAGGAACAACAUACCCUCCCUUGCCUCAAUGCCCUUCCUAAUAGUUGUGUAAUGAACAUGAUGGCAAGAGCUGCAGCAGCCACCUUGAGCCCAGAGAUGGGAUCUUCAUGUUAAAGAUGGCAAGCUUAUGAAAGAUGCCUGUGUACAUGAUAGUACCUGAUAGUCAAAUCAUCCCUUGACUGCUUAUUCUCAGACGAUUAACUGAAGAGAAAAUAAUCUUCCACCUCCUCUUUCACUGUUAAAUUUCAAGGUUUUGGAACACCUGAAGCCUGCAUUCAAACUCUAUACUGAUUAUAAUUUAGACCCUUUCUUCUGCUGUGGCUAGAACCAAUAUCAACAUACUUCUAUAAAAUCAGAAAGCAGAUCUUUACUAGUUGACCUGGGGAAAGCAGUAUGGUGACCUUUUUCCAUUUUUGACUCUCUGGCUGUUAAUGGGUUGAAUUGUGUUCCCCCAAAAAGUAUGCUAAAGUCCUCAACCCCAGGACCUCUAAAUUUGGAAAUAGGGCCAUUGAAGAUAUAAUUAGUUAUGAUGGGGUCAUAACUGGAAUAGAGUAGGACUCUAAUUCACAAUGAUUAGUCCCCUUGUAGAAAGAAUACCAUGUCCAGAGGUAUACACAGGAGACUACAAUGUGAGCAUGAAGGCAGAGACCAGAGUGCUGUGUCUGUAAGCCAAGAAAUGCCAAAGACUGCCAGUAAACCACAAGAAUCAAGGAAUGAGGCAUGGGACAGAUAAUCCCUCACAGCCCUUGGAACAAAUCAACCCUGGUGACUAUUCAGUCUUAGACUGGUAGCCCCCAAACUGUGGGGCAAUAAAUUACUCUUAUUUAAGACAACCCAGUGUGUGAUGUUUAGUUGUGGCAGUCCUGGGGAAAAGUGCACUGGCCAAAGGAUUAAUUUCCAUCCCUUAGGCACCUGCAAAAGAGAUUCUGGGGAACCUCUCCAUUUAGAGGACCUAGUAAUUAUAUCCUUUACUGUCCUGGAUAAUAUGGUCACUUUUUAGCAACUGGUCUCAUCUAUCACUGGUUGCCUAUGAGUGUUAUCUAUCAAUGUCAAAGACUAUAGUAAAUUCUGAAACUAAUUUACAUAUAAUAAAAAGUCAAAUGAAUCAGCUAUGGUGCAGCUCUGAUUGAAAUUUUUUGGAGAAUAAACAUUCUAUAAUUUGGAGAAUUGAUCUUUUAUGGGUUGUGGAUAAGACUAUGAAUAUCUAUUACAUAUAUUUGCAAGAUGACAGAAUGAGGACAAAUAUAAUUAUGCAUGUUUAUUCUCAGUUCCUAUUGAACUGAGUUUUUUUUUCCCUUUCACAUUUAUUAUGCAAGUAUGAUAAGCUCUGCAGCAAAUAAGGGACAGGUUGGUGUAGAGUCUAUAUUUCUGUUUCCAUGGAGGCAAAGCUGGAAAGAAAUCAUGAUAUACUUUAAGAAUUUGUGCCAGUUUUAAAUUAAGGCAGAAUAUUGUUGUAUUCAUGUUGUAGAAAGUUAUUGAAAAAAAAUAGUAAGUUUUUCCUCCCUAUGGGUGAUUCACUUCAAAUUUAAAUAAGUGAAUAUUUUCUAUUUCAAGAAAUGUUUUUAUGAAUAAGAGAAUGCUUUCCAAACUCUAUUGAGGAGAAAUCUUCCCAUUUGGGGAGGGCAUUUUAUUUUCUUUGAAUUAACCAAAUAACAUCUCAGCUCCCAUUUUUAACAAAAAAUUUACUGGCAAAUAUGGAAGUAUGAUGUGGGAAAUACGGUAUUUCCUUCUGGUGGGGGCUUUCAGUUAUAGGACGUAUGUCACCACGUUAUAUAUUAGCUACUCAGUCUUCAUUCAUCCUAUAACUGAUAAUCACUAUUCUAUUCUCUGUUUCUAUGUGUUCAGUUUUUUUUUUUUUUUCAGGUUCCACAAAAAAGCAAUACCAUUCAGUUUUUUUUUCUUUCUCUGUCAGGCUUUUUUCACUUAGAAUAAUGCCCUCCAGUUUGAUCCUGUCAUUUGCAGUUGUUGAAGCAUCCUUGUAUCCCAGAGAUUAACCCUACUUGGUCAUGGUGCAUGAUCCUUUGCAUGUGCUUUUGAUUUCAAUUUGCUAAUAUUUUGUUGAGAAUUUUUGCAUCUAUAUUCAUCAGGGUUAUUGGCCUUACAGUUUCCUUUUCUUGCAGUGUCCUUUUCGCUUUGGCAUUGGAGUAAUGCCGGCUUUGUAAUAUAAGUUCAGGAGUGUUCCUUUCUUGUUCCUAAGGUAGCACAUUAUACAUUCUUCUUUGUGUCUUCCUUAUUUCACUUAAAAUACAGCAAGAAAUAAUUCUAUUUCACUGUAUCAAUUUUUUUCUUAUUUUUAUAACUUCCCAGUACCAUUGUUUGUGCAUAUGCCGUAAUGCAUUACUCAGUCCCCUGCCAUUAGACAUGUGGAUUGUUUCCAGUCUUUUGUUAUUACAAAUCAUAUGUAUUUUUACCAGUGAGUCUUUGGGAUUCUUAGAUAAAAGAUAAAUGCAGUUGCAAUUAUAAAUUGUCAAAUUUCUCUCCACAGGGUUUGUAUCAUUUCACAUUUUCCUCAAUAUUGAGUGAGACUGUCUUCUUUGAGCCAUGCUAACAGUAUACACUGUCAGGUUUUUGAAUUCUUGCUAAUCUAACAGGUAAAUAGGGGUAUCUCAAAGUUAUUAUUUUGGAUUUCUCUUACUAGGACUGAAAUCACUUUCAAUUACAUUUUCCCCCAUUUGCUUUUCAUAUAUUUUUUUCCAUUUUUCCAUUAGUUCUGUCUUUAUUUUUCUUAGUUUUAUUUUAUUUAAUUAAAAAAUUUAAAUUUAAAUUAUUUUAUUAAAGUAUAAAUGACAUAUAAAUUAUAUUAGUUUCAGGUGUCCAAUGUAUUGAUUUGAUAUUUGUGUGUAUUGUGAAAUAUUGUGAAAUGAUCACCCCAAUGAGUCUAGUUAACAUCUGUCACCACACAUAGUUACAAAACUAUUUUUCUUACAAUUAGAACUUUUAAGAUGUGUUCUCCUAGCAACUCUCAAAUAUGCAAUACAGUGUAAUUAACUAUAGUCACCAUACUGUACAGUACAUCCCCUGACCUAAUUAUUUUAUAACUGGAAGUUUAUGCCUUUGGAUCCCUUUUACUCAUUUUGGCCAUCCCUCACCCUCUCCUGGCAAUCACUGAUCUGUUCUCUGUAUCUAUGAACUUGGUUUAACUAUUUAUUUAUUUUAGAUUCUUUGUAUAAGUGAGAUCAUGUUGUACUUGUCUUUCUAUGUCUGACUUAUUUCAUUUAGCAUACUGCCCUCUAGGUCCACACAUGUUCCAAAUGACAAUUUUCAUUAUUUUUUUAUGGCUGAAUAAUAAUGACUAUAUGCGUGUGUCACACUUUAUUUAUCCAUUUAUCACUUAGGUGGUUUCCAUACUUUGGCUAUUGUAAAUAACGCUGCUAUAAACAUGGGGAUGCAUAUCAUAUGUCUUCUCAAGCUAGUGUUUUCAUUUUCUUUGGAUUAAUACCCAAAAAUGAUUUUUGAGGAAACUCCAUACUGUUUUCCAUAGUGGCCCCACAAAUUUACAUUCCCAUCAACAGUGCACCAGGGUUCCCUUUUUGCUACACCCUGACCACACCUGUUAUUUCCAAUCUUUUUGUUAAUAGCCUUUCCAAUAGUGUGAUACAAUAUCUCAUUGUGGUUUUGAUUUGCAUCUUCCUUAUAGUGAUGUCAAACACCUUUUUCAGCUAAAUGUUAGCCAUUUGCAUGUCUUCACUGGAAAAACAUCUGCUCAGCUCCUCUACUUAUUUUUAAAAUCAGAUUGUUUGCUGUUUUACUAUUGAGUUGUAUGAGUUCUUUAUAUUUGGGAGUUUUAACUCCUUAUCAGAUAAUACGAUUUGCAAAUAUUUUCUCCCAUGCUGUAGGCUGCCUUUCAUUUUCUUGGUGGUUUCCUUUGCUGUGCAGAAGCUUUGUAGUUUAAUGUAUUUCCACUUGUUUAUGUUUUCUUUUGUUGCUUUUGAUCAUUAUCAAGUUAUAUGUCAAGGAGCUUAGCACAUAUGUUUUCUUCUAGGAGUUCUAAAGUUACAAAUCUUAUGUUCCAAGUCUUUAAUCCAUUUUAAAUUUACUUUCUGUGUAUGGUAUAAAACAGUGGUCCAGUUUUAUCCUUUUACAUGUCCAGUUUUCCCAGCACCAUGUAUUGAAGAUACUGCCCUUUCCCACUUAUAUAUUCUUAGCUCCUUUGUUGUAAAUUAAUUGGCCAUAUAUUCAUGUUUUAUUUCUGGGCUCUAUUUUCUGUUCCAUUGAUCUAUGUGUUUAUUUUUAUGCCAAUAUCAGUGUGUUUGAUUACUAUAGCUUUGUAUAGUUUGAAAUCAGAUAUUUUUCUUAAUUUUUAGAGAAUCUAUGCUUGGAAUAUUGGCCCUUCCUUAGGAAUUUAAUAGUAAAAUUUUCCCUAAUUUGUCACCUGCCUUUUGGCUUUGCUUAUGGUAAUUUUUUUCCAUGCUAAUUAAAAUUUUUAUCAUCUG